rnacentral:rRNA from 1 species
GACGAACGCUGGCGGCGUGCCUAAUACAUGCAAGUAGGACGCAGUUGCGAACGGGUGAGUAACGCGUAGGUAACUGCAUAUUAGAGGGGGAGAACAGUUGGAAACGAUCGCUAACACCGCAUACUAGUAGAUGGAACGGCGUUGUAUUAGCUAGUAGGUAUGGUAAUGGCCUACUUAGGAGACGAUACAUAGCCGCCCUGUGAGGGUGAUCGUCCACCCUGGGACUGAGACCCGGCCCAGGCUCCUACGGGAGGCAGCAGUAGGGAAUCUUCGGCAAUAGGGGGAACCCUGACCGAGCAACGCCGCGUGAGUGAAGAAGGUGUUCGGAUCGUAAAGCUCUGUUGUUAAGGAAGCGGUACUUAACCAGAAAGGGACGGCUAACUACGUGCCAGCCGCCGCGGUAAUAC